ACAUUUUUCAUGACAGUGUUUAUUUUUUUUAUAUUACAAGGAAUCUUUAUCACAUAUGUCAUAUUAUAUUGUUUUUUUCGUUUAUUUUUCUAAUGACGUAUAAGAAUGGCUGCUAUAUUUUCUAGUUGUAAUAACACUCGUAAAGUGAAAUUAACAUAAUCCGUCCAGUUUAUUGUGCAUCUAAUGAAAUAGGUUAUAUAAAUUUACAAUAUUAACUAAUAAUAAUUAAUAUUAUGUAGAUAAUCCCACCUACAGAUUUGAAGGCGGGAAGACUGAAAAAUAACACCGUUAUAUUUUGGUAAAAAGUCUCAUUUUUACUGAAGUAUAUCUGGAGUACAUACAUAGUUUUUUUUUUACAAUGCAGUUAAUACCGAUAAAAUCGAUUUUAUACACUAAAGUAUGUAAGGUCAAGCGGGGCUAUUCCGUGCGAAAAAAGUUUGGCCUGAAAUUAAAACACCUGUACCGACGCCCUUUUAAGCAAUUAUAACAAAUGAAUCAAUGCAGCAUAUUAAGUAUUCAUUCAUUAAUCGCCUCUCGCCAUUACGUCUGCAAGAAACAAACAAUGAGUAUGCAAAAUAAGGCGACAUAAAUAAAAACAUGGAAGCGCAACGACAAUGGUGACUGUUUUAGUACAUUAACUGAAUCCAGAUUUUCUUUUUGUUUUGGUUCUCUGAAAUCCAGUUGUUAGGAAUUUCCGGGUCUAUAUUUUCUUCUUGAAUUGCUUCCAAACUUUUAACUUUUUUCAAUGCCAAUUUCAAUAGGCUUGGUACGAUAGCUGCAGUACUAUUACGGGUAGUUUCAGCUACGGUGUUAUCAGUCUCAAUUAUUUCUUCUGAAUGUAUUUGAAUUUUUUGGGCUUCAAACGUUAAAGCCAUUUUUCCAUUGUUUGUCUGUCAAAUAUAUCUAAAACCGUUUUGGAUUAUUACAGGAUUUAAUUCAUCCCAAAUUUUUGUCAGCAUUCGAGCAAAUUCUGGCUUUGGUAAUUUUGAUCCUAUGUGUAGCCUCUGCCAUUUGAUAAUCUCACUUUCCCACUUAUCUUUGAGUGGUUUCAUCGUACUGCAAUCGAGUGGUUGCAGUCUAUUAGAUGAAUGUGGGGGAAGUUUAAUAAUUAUUGUUAUCCCGACAGAUACUGCAUAUUCAAUCACAUUUAAGUCUACGUGGGACGAAUGUCCAUCAAAAAUGAGGAGGAUUGGCCGUUUACCAUUUGUCGCUGGCACAAAGACUUCUUUUAGAUAUUUUUCAAAUAUAGUGAUUUCCAUCCACCCUCGUUGGCUUACUGCAUACGCAGUUUUCACUUCCUCAUUUGGAUAAAGCCAUUGCGUCCACAGAAACUUGCCUUGAAAAAUUAUCAGCGGAGGUAAUUUGUCCCCGCAGGCAUUUUUUGCCAGGAGCACUGUGGUAUUAUUUCUGCCUGGUCCGCUGGUGGUCCUAGUCGACGGAAAUCCUUUUUUUCCGAUGACCUUUGCUUUCACUGGAUCCUCACAAAAAGACGUUUCGUCUAAGUUGUAGAUUCUGUCUGGCUUGUCUUUCAAAUCUAGGUCCUCUACCACUUUUUCUAAUAUAUCAAAAUAAUCGUACACUACGAACGGAUUGCAAUCCUACGCCGAGAGAUUUCUACCGCUUGCGGUUUUUUGAUAGACAGUCCGUUCCGUUUUUUAAAGCCGUAGAACCAGUCCUUGCCUGGUAUAUCGUCUUUGAACGGUGUCGUAUUGUAGAUCUCGGUACCUCGUAAUACUUUGCUGCUGCGUAAAUAGUCAUUUUGUUUUCCCGAACAUCAUCUAAGGCUUUCUGAAUAGUUAAAUCAGUAUAUGUUUUUUUCUUUCUUGCGUUUAUAAUGGCGGACCAUCUACAACAAUAAGAUUAGUAAAAAAUUUUGUCAUACAAGACUUAAAGAAGGCGUCCUGUCAAAAGUUGUGUUUCUUUCAAACAGUUUACGAGCUAGUACUGCCAUCUAUAUUUUAAUGCCAAAAUAAGCAGUUCCCCUAUCUGAACAUAGAUGUCCGUGUAGUAAAAAAUUAAAAGAACUAAAGUUAUAGCCAAACGCCGGGGUAGCCCCGCUGGCGGGAUAGCCCCGCUUGACCUUACUUUUUUUAUAAUACCUACAUGUGUAUUGUAAAAAUUGUCUAGUGACUUAUUACAAUUUAAUAAUAUUUUUUACCAAAAAGGAACCUAAUUGUAUGAAUUAACAUACUUUUUUUUCCCUUUUUAACCUUUUGAGGUUGGUUUUUUUGAAAAUGUAUCAUUCCAUGUGGAUAAAAUAUAUUUUUAACUAUUAUAUUAUUAUAUAAAUGAAGUAGCUAAGCAUUACAUAUCCUUUAUACCUACUUAUGCAUUUAGUGAAUCAUUACCGUAAGGCGUGAAUAUUACCGGAUUUAUGCCCGAUUUCACCAAUAACCCCUAAACAGUCUCCUAAGUAAGGGUUCCUUAGUUUAAGGGACCCUUCAAAUCACUACCAAACCUAACGAUUUAGGUGACACUUAUCUGUCGGUGAAAGCAAAUUUUACGUUAGGUAUUCCCUAAAUUGACUUAGGUGACACUUAAAUUUUACGGGUUGUUGGUGAAAACGGGCAUUAAACCCGUUUUUUUGUUUUGGUGUACUUAGAAUAAGAGUAAUUGUAUCCGUCCAAAUGCAUUUGUGUGCCUGAUUUUUUGAUAAUAAAAUUAUUUGUAUAA